GAAAUGCGAUAAGUAAUGUGAAUUGCAGAAUUCAGUGAAUCAUCGAAUCUUUGAACGCACAUUGCGCCCGUCAGCAUUCUGGCGGGCAUGCCUGUUCGAGCGUCAUUUCAACCCUCAGGACCCCCCUUUCGCGGGGAGGGACCUGGCGUUGGGGAUCGGCCCGCCCCCGCGGCGGCGCCGUCCCCGAAAUCUAGUGGCGGUCUCGCUGCAGCCUCCCCUGCGUAGUAGUUACAACCUCGCAUCGGAGCGCGGCGCGGCCACGCCGUAAAACCCCCGACUUUCUGAACGUUGACCUCGGAUCAGGUAGGAAUACCCGCUGAACUUAAGC
rnacentral:misc_RNA from 1 species